rnacentral:rRNA from 1 species
UACGGAGGGUGCAAGCGUUAUCCGGAUUCACUGGGUUUAAAGGGUGCGUAGGUGGAUCAAUAAGUCAGUGGUGAAAGCCCCGAGCUCAACUUGGGAAUUGCCAUUGAUACUGUAGAUCUUGAGUGCGGUUGAGGUAGGCGGAAUGUUACAUGUAGCGGUGAAAUGCUUAGAUAUGUAACAGAACACCAAUUGCGAAGGCAGCUUACCAAGCCGAUACUGACACUGAGGCACGAAAGCGUGGGGAUCAAACAGG